rnacentral:rRNA from 1 species
CUAGCUGUAAACGAUGGAUACUAGGCGUUGAGAGUAUCGACCCUCUCAGUGUCGUAGCUAACGCGUUAAGUAUCCCGCCUGGGGAGUACGCGCGCAAGCGUGAAACUCAAAGGAAUUGACGGGGGCCCGCACAAGCGGUGGAGUAUGUGGUUUAAUUCGAUGCAACGCGAAGAACCCUACCAGGGCUUGACAUGUCCGGAACCCUGCCCAAAGGCGGGGGUGCCUACGGGAACCGGAACACAGGUGGUGC